CCUCACGGUAAACUUGACAGCUGAAGCAGAGCAACAUGUUAGGAAACGUAACAGUUCACGUCAGGUAAUUGAGAGCUGGGGCUUUACCGCUAACUAUUCAUACUGGACUGAGAAUGUGACAUACCGACCGAAAUCUCUACAUCCUAUACACGCUGUGACCGGAGAAGUCAAAUGCGUGGACGAUAUCAUUAAUUUUAUACCGGAAGGUGAUAUAAAGGAAGUUGAUUGCACGGAGCAAUACAGCUUGACUAUCAACAGUGGCAUAGGAACCCCGUUCACCCUGAAUACAGAAGUUAACUUUCCUGUUAUCAGGAAGCGAGAAAACAAAACCUCCCAGUUUGAAGACCUAAACUAUCAAGCUGAAAUUACAAGAACCUACAAACCGACGAAAGGGGCGCUUGUUGUGGACAUCUGCAACUUCGAAGUGAAAGUGUCCUUCAAUGGAUCGUUCGCUUAUUAUGUUAAGGGAAAUGAUACGAAACAAGGGUUUUACGUGCCCGUACCUUGGACGGAUCUGGCCAACUCAUCGAAAGGUCUGUUUUAUAACUGGAAUGGUAUCCUGGAAUACAAAGUAACGGGAACCUAUCUCGAGAUAACUUGUUCCUAGAAAUAAUGGGUGCGCAAAUAAAGGAUUCGCUUUCAA